rnacentral:rRNA from 1 species
GAUGAACGCUGGCGGCGUGCCUAAUACAUGCAAGUCGAGCGAACGGACGAGAAGCUUGCUUCUCUGAUGUUAGCGGCGGACGGGUGAGUAACACGUGGAUAACCUACCUAUAAGACUGGGAUAACUUCGGGAAACCGGAGCUAAUACCGGAUGAUAUUUUGAACCGCAUGGUUCAAAAGUGAAAGACGGUCUUGCUGUCACUUAUAGAUGGAUCCGCGCUGCAUUAGCUAGUUGGUAAGGUAACGGCUUACCAAGGCAACGAUGCAUAGCCGACCUGAGAGGGUGAUCGGCCACACUGGAACUGAGACACGGUCCAGACUCCUACGGGAGGCAGCAGUAGGGAAUCUUCCGCAAUGGGCGAAAGCCUGACGGAGCAACGCCGCGUGAGUGAUGAAGGUCUUCGGAUCGUAAAACUCUGUUAUUAGGGAAGAACAUAUGUGUAAGUAACUGUGCACAUCUUGACGGUACCUAAUCGGAAAGCCACGGCUAACUACGUG